UUGUAGCUGCAGAGGUGUUACGUUUUGGAAUGGUGACAAGGGUUAUUUGGCCAGAAAAGUUUCAAAAGGAGUUAAUUACAGCUGUAAUUGAAAUUUCUACGAAUUCGUUACAGUUUAAACAAAUUACAAAGAGACAGUUAAGAAACAGGAUGAAAAAUCAAAUUCAAGAGUCGUUAGCUGGCGAAGAAGACAUUUUAUUGGAAACGUGGAUAAGUGCGGAGUGUCAAAAGAAUUUUGAAAAUUAUGUUUAGAUUAAGAUCAGUUUUUUGUGCAUUUGUAUUGCCCGUUUUAUUGGUACAAAGUCAAUUUUUUGUUUUUAUUUUUAGUUAUAUUCCCUUACAGUUGAUUUUUUGACUGUAAUCUAAUGUCUUUAGGUUAUACUUUACGUUUGUUUCAUACACCUCAUUUCAAGAGAACAAAUGAAUAUAAAAUGAAACAAUAAAAUAUAAUGGAGUGUA